rnacentral:rRNA from 1 species
GACAGAGGGUGCAAACGUUGUUCGGAAUUACUGGGCGUAAAGCGCGCGUAGGCGGCCACUUAAGUCGGAUGUGAAAGCCCCUGGCUCAACUGGGGAAGUGCACCCGAAACUGAAUGGCUUGAAUACAAAAGAGGGCCGCGGAAUUCCCGGUGUAGAGGUGAAAUUCGUAGAUAUCGGGAGGAACACCGGUGGCGAAGGCGGCGGCCUGGGUUGAUAUUGACGCUGAGGCGCGAAAGCGUGGGGAGCAAACAGG